rnacentral:rRNA from 1 species
UACGUAGGGUGCGAGCGUUGUCCGGAAUUAUUGGGCGUAAAGGGCUCGUAGGCGGUUUGUCGCGUCGGGAGUGAAAACCAGGUGCUUAACACCUGGCUUGCUUUCGAUACGGGCAGACUAGAGGUAUGCAGGGGAGAACGGAAUUCCUGGUGUAGCGGUGAAAUGCGCAGAUAUCAGGAGGAACACCGGUGGCGAAGGCGGUUCUCUGGGCCUUACCUGACGCUGAGGAGCGAAAGCGUGGGGAGCGAACAGG